GACGAACGCUGGCGGCGUGCUUAACACAUGCAAGUCGAACGGAAAGGCCCUGCUUUUGUGGGGUGCUCGAGUGGCGAACGGGUGAGUAACACGUGAGUAACCUGCCCUUGACUUUGGGAUAACUUCAGGAAACUGGGGCUAAUACCGGAUAGGAGCUCCUGCUGCAUGGUGGGGGUUGGAAAGUUUCGGCGGUUGGGGAUGGACUCGCGGCUUAUCAGCUUGUUUGUGGGGUAGUGGCUUACCAAGGCUUUGACGGGUAGCCGGCCUGAGAGGGUGACCGGCCACAUUGGUACUGAGAUACGGCACAGACUCCUACGGGAGGCAGCAGUGGGGAAUAUUGCACAAUGGGCGGAAGCCUGAUGCAGCAACGCCGCGUGCGGGAUGACGGCCUUCGGGUUGUAAACCGCUUUCGCCUGUGACGAAGCGUGAGUGACGGUAAUGGGUAAAGAAGCACCGGCUAACUACGUG
rnacentral:rRNA from 1 species